rnacentral:misc_RNA from 1 species
ACCACCUACACUGCCUGGUAUUUGACCAUUGCAGCUAUUGUUCAUGGCCAGGUUGAUGGCGUAACUCACUCUGGCCCAACAAAACUGGUUCUCUACUUCACAGGCGCCACCAAUAUCCUCUACACUUUUGGUGGUCAUGCUGUUACUGUUGAAAUUAUGCAUGCAAUGUGGAAGCCUCAGAAGUUCAAGUACAUAUAUCUCCUUGCCACCAUGUAUGUUUUCACCUUAACAAUUCCAUCAGCUACCGCUGUCUACUGGGCAUUCGGUGAUCAACUUCUCACCCACUCGAAUGCAUUCUCACUUCUUCCCAAUUCCGGAUGGCGUGAUGCUGCAGUUAUCCUCAUGCUCAUCCAUCAGUUCAUAACAUUCGGAUUCGCAUGUACACCACUGUAUUUUGUGUGGGAGAAAGUGGUAGGGAUGCAUGAUACUAAGAGCAUAUUUUUGAGGGCAUUAACCAGGUUGCCUGUAGUCAUACCUAUAUGGUUCUUGGCUAUCAUAUUUCCUUUCUUUGGUCCCAUUAACUCAGCUGUGGGGGCACUUUUGGUUAGCUUCACCGUCUACAUCAUCCCUUCUUUAGCUCAUAUGCUCACUUAUCGAUCUGCCUCUGCUCGACAGAAUGCAGCGGAGAAGCCUCCAUUUUUCCUCCCUAGCUGGACAGCCAUGUAUGCAGUGAAUGCAUUUAUAGUGAUAUGGGUCCUUGUAGUUGGUUUUGGAUUAGGAGGGUGGGCUAGCAUGGCCAAUUUUAUCAAGCAAGUUGACACAUUUGGUCUCUUUGCCAAGUGCUACCAGUGCCCACCGCCGGCUGCCUCAAAGCACCAUUGAGUGUUCUAGACUGAUCAUCCAAGUUAUACUCUAAACUCUGAAGCCACUUGUUACAAUUUCUCCACAGCAUUUUACAUUUUCUUUAUGUAUUAUACAAAGGGAGGCACCAUCACCAGCAGCUCCUCCCUUACAUAUUGUGUUUU